UACGGAGGGUGCAAGCGUUAAUCGGAAUUACUGGGCGUAAAGCGUGCGUAGGCGGUUCGUUAAGUCUGUUGUGAAAGCCCCGGGCUCAACCUGGGAAUGGCAAUGGAUACUGGCGAGCUAGAGUGUGUCAGAGGAUGGUGGAAUUCCCGGUGUAGCGGUGAAAUGCGUAGAGAUCGGGAGGAACAUCAGUGGCGAAGGCGGCCAUCUGGGACAACACUGACGCUGAGGCACGAAAGCGUGGGGAGCAAGCAGG
rnacentral:rRNA from 1 species